rnacentral:tRNA from 1 species
UCUUUUCUUUUGAUAAAAGGGUUUUUAAAACCAAUGUUAUUUUUGCAAAUUUAAAAAAAUUUUGUGUAUUAAACUUUUUAUUGUUUGCAUUAAAGAGUUUUAUUAAACUUAAACUUAAACUUAAACUUAGAUCAUUUUGGGGGUUUAGCUCAGUUGGCUAGAGCAUCGGCUUUGCAAGCCGAGGGUCAAGGGUUCGAGUCCCUUAACCUCCAUUGGGCAUGUGCCUUGAAUUGUGAUUCAUUAUACUUUCAAGUACUUUUAUUAAAGUAGUUAUUAGAAUGUAAAACAGAAUAAGUUAAGAUUUAUGGGUUAAAGUUGGGAUCUGCCUGUUGAUAUUAAUAAGAAUGCCUAGAAGCGAAAUCAAACUUUCGAUAAAAAUCGAAGUUAUUUUUCUAGAGCACAAGGAUUAAUCAGCAUUAUAUUUUCCAACAGUCUAUUCUAUAAACGAGCUGCAUUUAUUACUAGAUUUUAGUUCGAAAUUAAUGUGGAUUUCUAGUUGUGAUACCUGUUGGGAGGGUAAGUAUUGUAGCUAGCCGUCGCCCUUGUUAUCUUUAUACCAGUAUGUAAGGAUAUUCCGGACAAGACUGUUAAUUAUAAGUUGGAGGAAAGCCAAGUUUGCGCUAAAUCAGCAUGUUUCUUGUAUCCUAGAUUAUAAGCUUGACGUAAUAGCCUAAAAAAGCUAAGCAAAACAUUAUAAAUCAGAUUUUAGUUUGAAUUUGUCGGGUACUCAAUGUUAUGAAGUUGAAAUAGCCAGUAAUUAGUAUAUGCUUUAAUAUAGAAAUUUAAUAAAAUUUUGAUGUUUUUAUUAAUUAUAGCUUAAAU